rnacentral:rRNA from 1 species
GACGAACGCUGGCGGCGUGCUUAACACAUGCAAGUCGAACGGACAGGCCCUGCUCUUGUGGGGUGCUCGAGUGGCGAACGGGUGAGUAACACGUGAGUAACCUGCCCUUGACUUUGGGAUAACACCAGGAAACUGCGGCUAAUACCGGAUAGGAGCUACUGCUGCACGGUGGGGGAUGGAAAGUUGCGGCGGUUGGGGAUGGACUCGCGGCUUAUCAGCUUGUUGGUGGGGUAGUGGCUGACCAAGGCUUUGACGGGUAGCCGGCCUGAGAGGGUGACCGGCCACAUGGGGACUGAGAGACGGCGCAGACUCCUACGGGAGGCAGCAGUGGGGAAUAUUGCACAAUGGGCGGAAGCCUGAGGCAGCAACGCCGCGUGCGGGAUGACGGCCUUCGAGUUGUGAACCGCUGUCGCCUGUGACGAAGCGUUAGUGACGGUAAUGGGUAAAGAAGCACCGGCUAACUACGUG